ACGAGUUAGGGUCUUCUAGGCCCGACCUCCCAACCCUAUGUUUAUUGAACCUCUGUUGCUUCGGCGGGCCCGUCUCACGACCGCCGGAGGAGUCGCCGCGAGGCGGCCCUCUGGCCAGCGCCCGCCGACGGCCAAAUUCAAACUCUGAAUAAAUCGUGUCAUGAUGUCUAAGUCUAUGAUUAAAUUAACGCA
rnacentral:misc_RNA from 1 species